GUAGGUGGCAAGCGUUGUCCGGAAUUAUUGGGCGUAAAGCGCGCGCAGGCGGUUCUUUAAGUCUGAUGUGAAAGCCCACGGCUCAACCGUGGAGGGUCAUUGGAAACUGGAGAACUUGAGUACAGAAGAGGAAAGCGGAAUUCCACGUGUAGCGGUGAAAUGCGCAGAGAUGUGGAGGAACACCAGUGGCGAAGGCGGCUUUCUGGUCUGUAACUGACGCUGAGGCGCGAAAGCUUGGGGGGAGCAAACAGGAUUAGAUACCCUGGUAGUCCACGCCGUAAACGAUGAGUGCUAAGUGUUAGGGGGUUUCCGCCCCUUAGUGCUGCAGCUAACGCAUUAAGCACUCCGCCUGGGAGUACGGCCGCAAGGCUG
rnacentral:rRNA from 1 species